rnacentral:rRNA from 1 species
CCAGACUCCUACGGGAGGCAGCAGUAGGGAAUUUUGCGCAAUGGGGGAAACCCUGACGCAGCAACACCGCGUGAAUGUUAAGCCCUGCGGGGUGUAAAGUUCUGUCAAUAGGGACGAAUUUUGACUGUACCUAUAGAGGAAGCAUCGGCUGACUCCGUGCCAGCAGCCGCGGUAAUACGGAGGAUGCGAGCGUUAUCCGGAUUUAUUGGGUUUAAAGGGUGCGUAGGCGGGCUUUUAAGUCAGCGGUAAAAAUUCGGGGCUCAACCCCGUCCGGCCGUUGAAACUGGGGGCCUUGAGUGGGCGAGAAGAAGGCGGAAUGCGUGGUGUAGCGGUGAAAUGCAUAGAUAUCACGCAGAACCCCGAUUGCGAAGGCAGCCUUCCGGCGCCCUACUGACGCUGAGGCACGAAAGCGUGGGGAUCGAACAGGAUUAGAUACCCGAGUACCG